CGGGGCGGAUGUAGCCAAGUGGAUUAAGGCAGUGGA
rnacentral:tRNA from 14 species